rnacentral:rRNA from 1 species
AUUGAACGCUGGCAGCAUGCCUUACACAUGCAAGUCGAACGGCAGCACGGGAGCAAUCCUGGUGGCGAGUGGCGAACGGGUGAGUAAAGCAUUGGAACGUGCCCAGUCGUGGGGGAUAACGUAGCGAAAGCUACGCUAAUACCGCAUACGAUCUGUGGAUGAAAGCGGGGGACCGUAAGGCCUCGCGCGAUUGGAGCGGCCGAUGUCAGAUUAGGUAGUUGGUGAGGUAAAGGCUCACCAAGCCGACGAUCUGUAGCUGGUCUGAGAGGACGGCCAGCCACACUGGGAGUGAGACACGGCCCAGAAUCCUACGGGAGGCAGCAGUGGGGCAUUUUGGACAAUGGGCGCAAGCCUGAUCCAGCAAUGCCGCGUGCAGGAUGAAGGCCUUCGGGUUGUAAACUGCUUUUGUACGGAGCGAAACGGCUUCCACUAAUACUGGGGGCUAAUGACGGUACCGUAAGAAUAAGCACCGGCUAACUACGUGCCAGCCGCCGCCGUAA